GGUAUAAAUAAUAAAUUAGUAUUAUUAUUAUUAUUAUUAUUACAGCAUUGGCCCAUCACCAGGAAGAACCAGGUACAGAUCUCGCUGCUGUGAGUCUCACUGGACCAGUUACCACCUGAGCCUAUACUACCUCACAGGGGUGUUGUAAGGGAGGUUGCAAUAAAGAGACGUGAGGAGAACCAUCACAGGAGAUGCAAGAGGAGCAAGAUGCAAGUGGGAGCAAGUGGGACUGCUUGUCUCACAGGGCCAGUUUGAGGAGGGAGAGGGUGGUCCAAGGGCUUUCUGUUGCGGGAAAGAGUUCCUGGUGGCAGAGAGCAGAAACCGAAGAAUUGAAGGAGUCUUUUGAAAAAGCAAUAAACGAUGCUGCGAUGGGCAGCAAGGUGGCACUGGAGGGCAACACAAAAGCUUCACUCUAGACAGAAACUCAUCCACACCAGAAAGGGCUUUUUUUUGUUUUGAAAACGAAAGUGGGGAAAAUUUUCCCAUCUUCAGCACCAUAGGUGGGAGAGCGCAUACUGUUCUCGUAAUCCGCAAUAGCAAAAAAUGCAGGCUUACUUGGAAGCACGUCUGCAAUAGAAUAGAAGGAUAAGCCCCCAAAACUGGGCAAUUUCAAGUCCCGCCCCACCUCUUCCUUCUUGUGGUUCCUUAACUUUAAACCAGACAUGGACAGGACAACUCUUCAAGUAAAGGAUUCCUUCAAACAGAGGACUGUCUUCUAUAAAGUAGGACCCUUGUGCACUCUACUUUUGAGCACCUUUUUUGAGAAGAGGGGUCUGCCCAGUUCAGGUAGCGGCACGGUGAGUCUCUUGCAUUCCUUCUUGUGUCUUGUUCAGUAUAGCUCUUCUUGAUCCAAGCAUAAGAAGAUAAGGGGAGCUUGCUGUAUCAGGCCGAUGUCCCAUCUAGUCUAGCAUUCUGUGGCCAACCACAUGUCUGUAGGAAGCACUCAAGCAGGAGAUGAACUCAGCAGCACUCGGCCCACCUGUGAUUCCCACCAACUGGUAUUCAGAGGCAUUUGUCUAAAUGUUGUCUCUGUUUAGACCCAAAUGAAUGGAGCUCAGUCUCCUGCUGAGCUGCAGUUCCUUUGACUCUGGAACUUCCCUAUAUAGGGACACGUUCUUACACAAAAGGGGCUCAUAGCAGCAGAUAGAACUCAAAGUGAAAGAGAGGAGUACCUGAGAAGCAAAAUAGGGAGCUCACAAGUAAGUUAAUAACCUUCACCGUAAUAUUACCUUUUUAAAAAAAAAGAAAAGAAAAGAGGUUUUAAUUUCCAGACCUCCACCUGAGAUGCUACUUAGGAAGGCGGAAAAAUUAAAAACCCAGCAGGCUCUGAUGGCACUUUUCCCCAAAGUGGGAGCCAAUUAGUUAUCAUCAAUU